rnacentral:rRNA from 1 species
GCGCACGCUGGCGGCAGGCCUAACCCAUGCAAGUCGAACGAACCUUUCGGGGUUAGUGGCGGACGGGUGAGUAACACGUGGGAACGUGCCUUUAGGUUCGGAAUAACUCAGGGAAACUUGUGCUAAUACCGAAUGUGCCCUUCGGGGGAAAGAUUAAUCGCCUUUAGAGCGGCCCGCGUCUGAUUAGCUAGUUGGUUGAGGUAAUGGCUCACCAAGGCGACGAUCAGUAGCUGGUCUGAGAGGAUGAUCAGCCACAUUGGGACUGGGACACGGCCCAAACUCCUACGGGAGGCAGCAGUGGGGAAUCUUGCGCAAUGGGCGAAAGCCUGACGCAGCCAUGCCGCGUGAAUGAUGAAGGUCUUAGGAUUGUAAAAUUCUUUCACCGGGGACGAUAAUGACGGUACCCGGAGAAGAAGCCCCGGCUAACUUCGUG